UGCAUUUCAUGGCUAAGAUCAACAAUUGCUUCAAUCACAAUCCCAAGGAAUGGUUGUGGGUUUUUUUGUUUUUGUUUUUGUUCCUUUUUUUAGAAAUUUGCUGAGCAGUUGCAUCACUGAAUAUUUCUUUUUGGACACAGCAGUUUCAGUAUUUUGGUAUCUUAGUUACUAUUGAUUGCUCUAUCCACAGGAAGUCGAUGACUAACAAGAAGGCAGUGAGGAUAUACAGUAUCACAACAGGAAAGUUUCUUGAGAUCACCUAAUAAGUUACUCUGGAUUGUCAUCGAGGGUCGAGAGAGCAGAAAGACCAGCUUAGAAGACUAUUUUAACAAUACAGGUCUCUCAUGCUUCUAAGACAGAUAAAAGUAUAUUCUUUAAAAUGUAAGUACAUUUUCAGCAU